UACGUAGGGUGCAAGCGUUAUCCGGAAUUAUUGGGCGGAAAGAGCUCGUAGGCGGUUUGUCGCGUCUGCUGUGAAAACUGGGGGCUCAACCCCCAGCCUGCAGUGGGUACGGGCAGACUAGAGUGCGGUAGGGGAGAUUGGAAUUCCUGGUGUAGCGGUGGAAUGCGCAGAUAUCAGGAGGAACACCGGUGGCGAAGGCGGGUCUCUGGGCCGAUACUGACGCUGAGGAGCGAAAGCGUGGGGAGCGAACAGG
rnacentral:rRNA from 1 species